AUAUCUUUGAUCGGGUGAUUGAGGAGUUGUUUAUUUCUCAUGGUGCCUCAAUAGGAUUUUGGCGUGGGGAUGUAAAAUUAUUAAUUGAAGACAUUGGGGAGCUAGAACCAACUAUUUUCUGUGUUGUUCCACGUGUGCUGGAUUCGAUCUAUACAGGUCUGACAGAGAAGAUUUCUUCAGGAGGUUUCUUGAAGCAUACAUUGUUUAACAUCGCAUACGCAUAGUAAGUUCUGCAACUUGUAUUCCUAAUAGAAAGAACAUGAUCGAUUUGUUCCUCAAAGAAAAUCUCGAUAGGAAGCUUAGUCCCACAUUCCUAUUUGGAAUAAUCUGCCUAGGGUCCUCGACAUCACUAUAUUCCAUUUUUUUUUUUCUUUCCAUACCUUGUUGUUGUCUGCUCAUUGCAUUGUGCCCUCCUUUUCCUUUCUGUUACUAUUCUGUUUCUUGAUUUCACCCAAC